UUUUUCUGUAUUUCCGUGCACGUGCGUACGUGCGCAUUUGGUCGUUAUCUGAACCCCUAUGCCAUCACAAAUUUCAGUUGCCAGUUUGCAGGUGAAAAAGAUAAUUACAGCUUUCUUGAUUUAUAGCCGUUUGUCAGUCAGGUAAGAUUUCAAGUCCAAUGAAAAGCAAGAAAUAUAAAUGGUCUAUUACUAAAAUUUGACAAUUUUUCUGUUAUUUAGCUGUGUAGUUGAAAUUUCGUCCGCGUAUCAGUUGCUAGAUUUAAAGCCACCUUCACUCGUUUUUAUUUCGCCAAUAGUAAACAUGAAUCGAUAAUUGAUAUCACUGCGGCAUGUAGAUCACUUAUUGUCUUUGAACUGCAGUUUCUUUUAAUCAGAAGUUAUUCAAAAGCAGUUAUUUGCAUUGAGGUGAGACAGUGGAGCUAGACGAAGCUCUCGACCAAUCAGGAGCCUGGAGUGAUUUCAUAGAUGUAGGUCUUGCGUUACGUUCAUAUGUACAGCAUUUCGAUCCUGACCGGAUUCUAUUGAAUGCUCUUAUUCUUCAGUUAUCGUUGAGCUGAUUUUUAUCAUCGACGUAAAAUAUAUUGACUUUAUAUAUCUGCGAAACGUCCUGAUCUAAUCUAAACAACGCGUGAUUAUGAACAGAAUGACUUCAGUUAAUUGACGAUUUUGGCUGGAGUAAGGUGACAUUGAUUGAUUUCGCUGGUAGAACUUGAUUGACUUUUUCAAUUAUAAAACUAGAACGCACAGUUCAGCUUAAUUGCUGCGCGCAUAAGUAAACGUAAAUAUGCGUUGACUGUGCAUCAGCCGGUCUAGGGUAAGAAUCUCAAGAAAAGCGAUCGAUCAAUCGAUCUCUCAACACUACCUUCAUCAGUUUAGACAGUUUAAGAUGGAGCAUUCAAGUGAAGCAAGUUUGCCAGAGAUGAUCGCCGAGGUAACGGUGCUGUUGGUAUCUUGUUGUGGAACAGUUCUCGCUAACACCAUGGUUCUUAUUAAUGUGACCAUCAAGGAAAAACUUCACUCUCCGACCUACUUCUACUAUCUCAGCCUCGCUGUUUCCGAUUUGAUAUUAGGUAAGAAAGCAUUCUACGUUCCCGUGAGAUGGGAUGCGGCACUAUUCGUUGACUCCUAUCUCUUACCCUCCGCUCUUGUGCGCAAACCGAUGGCAUAAAGCGUGAAGAAGUAGGAAAGAAUCAGGUGGUAUAAAA